CACAAAUGUGGUGAGCCCACAACAAGCUGCCUCAUUAGUGGCUUUUUGUGAUCCGCAAACAACAAGGAGGGCACUGAUGGGCUUUACUUGAGGACAGGUGGUUGCUGGCCUGUGAAAGCACCUGGAGCAGAAGCGGGCAGAGGAGAAGCGGGAAGAGGCAGGCAAGAGAGCGAGUAUUUAAGCAGAAGAAGCGGGACGACAACCCUCCAAAGCAGCAGCACUUGGAAACGGAAAGAAGAAACGUCGGCAGGACGGGCUUCCUUGACCGGCAGACGGGUAUUGGGCCCUCGGCAGAGUGACCGACUGUGGGCUAGGUUUAAAAUUGAUGGAGAAUUUGGUGAACCUAAAGGCACCUCCACUCCUUUCAUCUUGGUCUUAAAGCGCAUGAACCUCAUUGCUAGGAAAUUGCUGAGGUGAAAAAGCACACUGGAAAUAACACUGAAAAAAGGACAUCAAGCUGGUUCUUGGACGACUUCUAGAACUGGGCAACGGAGCAAGAUUCUCCAAUGCUAAUGCAUCUUAGGCCCUUUGGAAAUAAAAAUAUUUCUUGACAGCUUA